rnacentral:rRNA from 1 species
CGGAGGGAUCAUUAAAGAGUUCUAUAACUCCCAAACCCAUGUGAACAUACCUAACGUUGCCUCGGCAGGUCGCACCUACCUUGUAGCACCCUACCCUGUAGGGCCUACCCGGGAGGUGCGGGUAAGCCUGCCGGCGGCCCACCAAACUCUGUUUGAUAUUGAAUUCUGAACCUAUAACUAAAUAAGUUAAAACUUUCAACAACGGAUCUCUUGGUUCUGGCAUCGAUGAAGAACGCAGCGAAAUGCGAUAAGUAAUGUGAAUUGCAGAAUUCAGUGAAUCAUCGAAUCUUUGAACGCAUAUUGCGCCCAUUAGUAUUCUAGUGGGCAGGACCGUUCGAGCGUCAUUUCAACCCUUAAGCCUUCGUUGCUUAGUGUUGGGAGCCUACGGCAACGUAGCUCCUCAAAGUUAGUGGCGGAGUUGGUUCACACUCUAGACGUAGUAAUUUUUUAUCUCGCCUAUUAGUUGGACUAAUCCCCUGCCGUAAAACCCCUAAUUUAUCAAGGUUGACCUCGAAUCGGUUCAGACAAACUCGCU